AAACACUUUAUUAUCCUCAGCACGGUUACAAUGAAGAGUGGGGACAGGGUAGAGGCUGAGCUUGGGCUUCCUUUCACAUCACACUCCCUUCGUGAUUGCCCCUUGUCUUCUCCCUUCCUAAUCCCAGUCCUAAAAGGAGAAUCUGACUUUGGUGGGGACAGGGGCAAGAAACCCAAGGACACUGAUGUCUGAGCUCCUUGUACUGGGAGUCAAACAUGCCCCCCAAAACAGAAAGAAACUAGAUUCUUCAACAAAUUCCAGGUCCAAGACUCCUAGUCCCGGCUGCCUGUGUUUCUCCAGAGACUUAAUAAUGCCUAUGGGGAUGGGGAUGUGAGGGGACACAGGACUUGGCUGACCAGAACGAGGGAUACAAGGAUCCAGUUGGGGAACACUGCUGUUUAAAUAUUAAACAGGGUUGGUUUGUCUCCCACAUGGGAGACCUUCUCAUGCUUCCUGGGGCCCCAAGGUAGAUACCUCAGGGUUCACUGUGGCUCUUCUUAGUGCCCCACAGAGCCAGGGCCAGGGAGCAGCUCCAGGAAGAAAUACUUGGUAUUUACCUAUCUACCUCCCACCCAGUGGACAGGAGGACAGGAGCUUUUUCUCACUGCUACAGGCAGGAGAAUGAAACUCGGAGAUGGAGGGAAGGACACAGAGGUCUGGGGCUCUGUUCUCUCUUCCCUGACUUUAAAUAUUAGGCUUAAAUAAGCAUAAAUAUUAAAUAGAGAUAAAUACACUGGGUGGGGAGGGCUUUGCU
rnacentral:lncRNA from 1 species